AGGUGUGUCCUAAUAACAAUAUUAGGACAAACCCUUGAGAAAUUCUUAACACCUUAGCAUAUCAAUUUACAUGAUAGGAUGUGUUCAAAUAACACUAUGCACUCAAACCCAUGAGAUAAUACAUAUUACCUCAACAAAUCAAUUUACAUAUGAGAGUGUGUUUGAAUAAUAUUAUCCAUUUAAAACUCUGAGACAAUACGUAACACAUUGGCGCAUAAGUUUACAAGACAAGGUGUAGCCAUAGAACAUUAUCCAAACAAACCCUUGAUCCAACUAACUUUGCAUUACUUUUUCAUACAUAAUAGUGUGUUUAGAUUUACAAUAUUUUAUUCACACAUAUAUAGUUCCCUUACAUAAGUCACAUAUUUUUAACCUAAGAAAAUAUCGUAUAUAAAAUCAUGAGUCUUACAGUCUCAUAUUUGUAACAAGAAAUCCAUAGGACAUUCAUGAGCGAAAUAUUAUUAAAACAUAUUUAGAAAAAAUUAAAUUGGUCUAUACAAUAGUCUAAGUACUGAGUACGUUGCAAACCUCUUUUUCCUCCUCUACCUCCUAUAGUGAGGUACACUUCGUUCCUUUAACAAUACCACCUGUAGUGUCCUACUAGAGGGAUCUUCGUGAAACUAUCCUCUACUGUUGGAAGCACCACUACACUAUGAUGGAAUAUGACCAAGAUAUCUACGACAUGGGCCGCCCUAGCAUGUUCCUUCGAUGAUAUCUAGUGAUGAGCUGAUCUUGGGGGAUCUUUUGCUUGCACUAGUGUCAAAUAAUGAUUAAAAACUUUGUAAAAUCAUUGUAUGUAAUCGUAUAUCGUACUUAAUGGACUAGGAGUUAGCACACUGCGUACAUCCUCUAGUAUCGGGGGUUCGUGGUACUCCGCAAAUAGCUCAUUGAUAUCUUUACAAAGAAUCGUGGAAGACACACCCAAAGUGAGGUCCCAAGCUAGGUAUACCCUGCAUAUACUAGAACUACCUCAAUAUUGAUUUAUGUAGAAGUGGGUAUUUAAGUCGAGAGCCACAUGCCAAAGGAACAACGUGAGGUUGAGUGAAGUGGAUAUUAUUCAGACGAGGCGAGAGGAGCAACCUCAUAAUUGUUUUGACCUUUGGCAUCAAAAAGACUUUUGCAGGCAUCUCUCUUCUAGAUAACCACUAUCAUUAUAGACCUACCACCAUCAACUACUCUCAAAUUGAUUGUGAUCUAGACAAGAAAUUUUUUCUUUUUAUCAACAUAAACAAAGUUUAAAUUACUUUAUGAGAACAAAUUUUAUGUUAUUUUCAAUCUAACACCAAAAUUGUGUGUUUGAUUUUUGUUUUGUACGACGAAGAUAACAUGUGUUUCAUGAAAAAACCAUUUAUCAUGUUAAAGAGUGGAUCUAUAGUAUUACUAAUGUACUAAAGUACUCAUGGAGUAGAUAAAAAUGAAUAGAUUGAGUGAGAUAUACAGUUGGAGUUUAUUUAACAAAUCUCCUUUUCAUGAAAAGACCAUUUAUCAUGUUAAAGAGUGAUUUAACAAGCCAAAGGUUGCCUUUGCACCAUGGUGAAAAGGCAAAUAGUUUAUGUACCAAAGGUUGCGUUUCAAUUUCAAUUUGUCUAUAUAAUAAAUUGUAAAUUAAAUACUGCACAUAAUCAAGUUGUCUCUUUAAUUAAUCACCUUUAAUUCUUUUCGAACUUAAGUUUAAUAAUUUUUUGUAGUGCUUGACACCUUUGAUUAGACCAAUAUGGCUAAUUCCCAACCACAACACACAAUUUACAGUGCUUAGUUAUUUUAAUCAAGAAAUGAAUAAAGACCACAAUUAAAGAUCGUAAUAUUCCUGUCAAUAGUUUAUUUUGAGCAAAUUGAAUUAUAUUAUCUCCUUUCAAAAUCUUACGUUUGAUCUUUCUAUGUUUUUUAAGGACUGAAUAUUAAUAAUUAAAUUUCACUUUUUAUAGACUCCUUUUCUGAUCUUUUUGUUUGGUUUACACUAGUGUGCCUUUAUUUGGCUAUUCAAUUUUAUAGAUAAUUUUACUUUUUCAAAAAGAGAUUGUGAUCUAGAACAAUAAUAAAACUUAUUUAAUAUACUUAUGUGCAUUACUCAACCAAAUUGUAAAGUAACGCUAUGUGCAUUACUCAACCAAAUUGUAAAGUAACGCUAUUUGAUUAAUUAUUAUAAUAUUCGAUAUUUAGAUAGUAUUAGGUAGAUAUUAUAAUAAAUUAAUUUAAAUCGAAUGUAUCGAUAUUAUAAUCGUUAAUAAAUUUUUUUAUAAGUAUUUCAAGCAUUCUUAAAUGUUUU
rnacentral:lncRNA from 1 species